rnacentral:rRNA from 1 species
ACGGGGGUUGCGAGCGUUGUCCGGAAUUACUAGGCGUAAAGGGCGGGUAGGCGGAUCUAUAAGUUUGUUGUUAAAGCCCCGGGCUUAACUCGGGAAGGGCGCUCGAAACGAUGGAUCUUGAGAACGGGAGGGGAACGGGGAAUUCCCAGUGUAGAGGUGAAAUGCGUAGAUAUUGGGAGGAACACCGGUGGCGAAGGCGCUCAUCUGGACCGUUACUGACGCUGAGCCGCGAAAGUGUGGGUAGCAAACAG